rnacentral:lncRNA from 1 species
CAUUAUGCAUCAUAUUUUUCUGCCUCUUUGCAUGCCUGGUAAUUUUUUAUUGGAUGCCAGACAUGAAUUUUACCUUGUUUAUAUUCCUACAAAUAUUCUUGAGCUUUGUUCUAGGAAAUGGUUACUUGGAAUUUUGAUCCUUGCUUUUUUGUUUAUGAAAUUGUUCUAAUGAUAAUUUGCUGUAAUUCUAAAGCCAAUAUGUGAAAGAGCUGUGUAAUAAUAUAUUUAAAUACUAAAAAAUCUUUUGGACAUUAACCUUAGAUGCUUCAGUGACAUCAUAAAGAUUUUUUAUCCUACUGAAAUCAUCCAUAGAAUGGUUUUAAACCAGUUUUCUAAAUAUCAUGUAUUUUUUAAAACCUACCACUGGAUACCCAGACUCUGAAACUGGGCUUCUCCCAAUCUUGGCAACAUUAGCAAUGAUACUCACUUUCAGUAUUGAUGGCAACCCUAUAGGAGGCGUGACCAUUCCAAUUUUGAUUUUAUUUUUAAAGUGUGAACUUUCCAGAACCCUGAGCAAAAUGAGUGCAGCGAUUUUCUUUUUGUAGGACAAGAAGACAGAAGAGUUCUUCUCUGUGGUGACUACAGACUAGAGGAAUGCUCUAGUGAGUUUCCACUUCAAGUAGUACCCACUCAUAAGCCGGGGGGGCA